rnacentral:rRNA from 1 species
GCCUACGGGGGGCAGCAGUCGGGAAUAUUGCGCAAUGGAGGAAACUCUGACGCAGUGACGCCGCGUAUAGGAAGAAGUUUUUCGGAAUGUAAACUAUUGUCGUUAGGGAAGAGAAAGGACAGUACCUAAGGAGGAAGCUCCGGCUAACUACGUGCCAGCAGCCGCGGUAAUACGUAGGGAGCGAGCGUUAUCCGGAAUUAUUGGGUGUAAAGGGAGCGUAGACGGCAGCGCAAGUCUGGAGUGAAAUGCCGGGGCUCAACCCCGGAACUGCUUUGGAAACUGUGCGGCUCGAGUGCGGGAGAGGG